rnacentral:rRNA from 1 species
AGAGUUUGAUCAUGGCUCAGGACGAACGCUGGCGGCGUGCUUAAUACAUGCAAGUCGAGCGAGGUUAUGUUGUGGACAUCCUUCGGGAGGGAAGCGAUAUGACCUAGCGGCGGACGGGUGAGUAACGCGUGGGCAAUCUGCCCUAAAGCUCGGGAUAACAGUGGGAAACUGCUGCUAAUACCGGAUGACUUUAUCGGGAGGCAUCUUCGGAUAAAGAAAGUGGUCAAUCAUUGAUUGACCAGCGCUUUAGGAUGAGCCCGCGUCCCAUUAGCUAGUUGGUGAGGUAACGGCUCACCAAGGCGACGAUGGGUAGCCGGCCUGAGAGGGUGAACGGCCACACUGGGACUGAGACACGGCCCAGACUCCUACGGGAGGCAGCAGUAGGGAAUAUUGCGCAAUGGAGGGAACUCUGACGCAGCGACGCCGCGUGAGCGAUGAAGGUUUUCGGAUCGUAAAGCUCUGUCCUUGGGGAAGAAGGGUGCGAAGCAUCUUGACGGUACCUAAGGAGGAAGCCCCGGCUAACUACGUGCCAGCAGCCGCGGUGAUACGUAGGGGGCAAGCGUUGUCCGGAAUUAUUGGGCGUAAAGGGUGCGUAGGCGGCCUUUUAAGUCAGAUGUGAAAGACCACGGCUUAACCGUGGGGUUGCAUUUGAAACUGGAGGGCUUGAGUAUCGGAGAGGGUAGUGGAAUUCCCAGUGUAGCGGUGGAAUGCGUAGAUAUUGGGAGGAACACCAGUGGCGAAGGCGACUACCUGGACGAAAACUGACGCUGAGGCACGAAAGCUAGGGGAGCAAACAGGAUUAGAUACCCUGGUUAGUCCUAGCCGUAAACGAUGGGUACUAGGUGUAGGAGGUUUCGAUACCUUUCUGUGCC